GGAAGUAAAAGUCACAAGGUUUCCGUAGGUGAACCUGCGGAAGGAUCAUUAUUGUAUAACCGAGGUGCGAGGGCUGUCGCUGACCCGAAAGGUCGUGCACGCCCGAGUGCCCUCACACACAUCCACCUCACCCCUAUGUGCACCACCGCGUGGGUCCCCCUUUGGCUUGUUCGGAGGGGGGCUUACGUUUUCACACAAACUUUGUAUGCAGUGUAGAAUGUAUUUUUUGUUUUUGCGAUCACGCAAUCAAUACAACUUUCAACAACGGAUCUCUUGGCUCUC
rnacentral:misc_RNA from 1 species